AGAAUCAACGCUGGCGGCGUGCCUAACACAUGCAAGUCGAACGAGAAAGUGGUAGCAAUACCAUGAGUAAAGUGGCGCACGGGUGAGUAACACGUGACUAACCUACCCUUGAGUGGGGGAGUAACUGAGGGAAACCUUAGCUAAUACCGCAUAAUACCCACGGGUCAAAGGAGCAAUUCGCUCGAGGAGGGGUCGCGGCCGAUUAGUUAGUUGGCGGGGUAAUGGCCCACCAAGACGAUGAUCGGUA
rnacentral:rRNA from 1 species